AGCGAACGUUUGCGGCGGGCUUAACACAUGCAAGUCGAACGGGCUGUUCCUUCGGGGGCAGUCAGUGGCGCACGGGUGCGUAACACGUAGGUAAUCAACCCCUCUGGUUGGGGAUAACACUUCGAAAGGAGUGCUAAUACCCGGUAUGGCCGCAGCGGUCUUCGGAUCGCGGCGAGAAAGACCCGCAAGGGUUGCCCAGAGGACGAGCCUGCGGCCCAUCAGCUAGUUGGCGAGGUAACGGCUCACCAAGGCGAAGACGGGUAGCUGGUCUGAGAGGAUGAUCAGCCACACUGGAACUGAGACACGGUCCAG
rnacentral:rRNA from 1 species